CGGUAAUACGAAGGGUGCAAGCGUUACUCGGAAUUACUGGGCGUAAAGCGUGCGUAGGUGGUUUGUUAAGUCCGAUGUGAAAGCCCUGGGCUCAACCUGGGAAUGGCAUUGGAUACUGGCAGGCUAGAGUGCGGUAGAGGGGUGUGGAAUUCCCGGUGUAGCAGUGAAAUGCGUAGAUAUCGGGAGGAACAUCUGUGGCGAAGGCGACACCCUGGACCAGCACUGACACUGAGGCACGAAAGCGUGGGGAGCAAACAGGAUUAGAUACCCUGGUAGUCCACGCCCUAAACGAUGCGAACUGGAUGUUGGGUGCAACUUGGCACUCAGUAUCGAAGCUAACGCGUUAAGUUCGCCGCCUGGGAAGUACGGUCGCAAGACUGAA
rnacentral:rRNA from 1 species